rnacentral:rRNA from 1 species
AGAAUCAACGCUGGCGGCGUGCCUAACACAUGCAAGUCGAACGAGAAAGUGGAGCAAUCCAUGAGUAAAGUGGCGCACGGGUGAGUAACACGUGACUAACCUACCCUCGAGUGGGGAAUAACCUGGGGAAACCCGGGCUAAUACCGCAUAAUACCCACGGGUCAAAGGAGCAAUUCGCUUGAGGAGGGGGUCGCGGCAGAUUAGUUAGUUGGCGGGGUAAUGGCCCACCAAGACGAUGAUCUGUAUCCGGCCUGAGAGGGCGCACGGACACACUGGAACUGAAACACGGUCCAGACUCCUACGGGAGGCAGCAGUGGGGAAUUUUGCGCAAUGGGGGAAACCCUGACGCAGCAACGCCGCGUGGAGGAUGAAGUCCCUUGGGACGUAAACUCCUUUCGACCGGGACGAUAAUGACGGUACCGGAUGAAGAAGCCCCGGCUAACUUCGCGCCAGCAGCCGC